rnacentral:rRNA from 1 species
AGCGAACGCUGGCGGCAGGCCUAACACAUGCAAGUCGAGCGCCCAGCAAUGGGAGCGGCAGACGGGAGAGUAACACGUGGGAACGUGCCUUUUGGUUCGGAAUAACUCAGGGAAACUUGAGCUAAUACCGGAUAAGCCCUUACGGGAAAGAUUUAUUGCCAAAAGAAGCGGCCCGCGUCCGAUUAGCUAGUUGGUGAGGUAAUGGCUCACCAAGGCGACGAUCGGUAGCUGGUCNGAGAGGAUGACC